CUUUCCUAUAGUCACUCUUACUAGUGUUUCUGUAUGUAUUCUGCUGAUAUUUUAAAUAUUAGGAUUUGCAUAUGCUAAUUAGCCAAUUAUGGUCCCUAAUUGAUGACAUCAGCUUCCCUUCAUAAGGGAAGUCACUUGGGGGACCAAAUCACCUUUGAAAAAGCCACCAGGAGUGGCGAAAUGCGUCAGUUUUUUGAACACCAGGCACUGGACUGUUCCACCUAGCACUGUUUCUUCAACUGAAAAACUUUCAGUCAAACGACUGUGCCAUCCAGCAUUGUCCAUCGGAUUGGAAACCUCCAGCUAAACAGCAAAAGGCAUCCGUGAACCAGGAUCCAAUACCACCAUUGCCGUCGCAGAACGAGCUAAAUCAAUUGGACUCCUUUAUUUUGGAACACAGCUUGGAAAGCUUAUACAACUGGACUAUUCCGAAUGCUGGUAAAAUAUGGCCAUGUGUGGAUUUUAUUGCAGUUAUUAAUAUUUACUAUACACUGCGGGACUCUAUUCAUAACAAGCAGUGGUUGUCUGGACGAUAACGAAUCUGGAAAGACUACAUUUCCCAUGAACCGCGCUACUGGAAGUUCUGCAUUGCGGGGGAUGACGACUUCCGGCCAGGACACAAGUAUACAACACGUCUUCUGUGGACUACAUUUCCCAUGUAGUCUGGAACCGGAUUUCAGUCUGACAACUUCCGCUUAUGUCAUGCUAUUAGGGAUUAUAUUUCCCAGAGUUUCCGCAAUCGGAACCCGGCGCGAACGCUAUCUUAUUAGUUUUUAAGUUCAUUUGUAUAAAUCUUAUGUAUAAUGCUAGAGAUAUUAAUGUUGUUUAUAAUCUUUGUUAAAAAAACGGCAAAGAGGAUGCAUUUUAUUCAAACUACUGUUUGUAUAAAUAACAACUAAUUAUGACAUCACUUCCUGAUAGUUUUUGAUUGGACACAGGUCCUUUAAAUAUCAAGCUAUGAUUACGCUCCAUUAUGUCUUGAGAAAGGCCCAGGCCAGGGCUGAAACGCGUUGACAGCAGGAGUGUGAGUAGCUGUUACUUUUCUUGGAAAACUUUUAGCUCAUAUUUUUAUUUUUGCACAAUUUUUUUAUUCUUUUAUAUGGAUUCAUGGAUAUCCUUCUUGCCGUUUUUACCCCCUUUCAUGUGAUUUUUCGUGUUUUGCCUCAUGUUUGUGGCUUUAUUUGUAUUUUAAUAAAUUUUUUGUACCCCCCCUGUU